GUGCUUGCAUCAGCGGCGCAUAUACUAAAAUUGGAAUGAACAGAAUGAAAAGAUUAGCAUGGUUCCUGAGCAAGGAUGACAGAAAUUUGUAAAGUGUUCCAUAUUUUU
rnacentral:snRNA from 1 species